AGUCAAUGGGGCGAGCUGACGGAGCAUACCGCGUGAGGGAUGACGGCCUAUGGGUUGUAAACCUCUUUUCUCAGGGAGGAAAUCAAUGACGUUACCUGAGGAAUAAGCAUCGGCUAACUCCGUGCCAGCAGCCGCGGUAAGACGGAGGAUGCAAGUGUUAUCCGGAAUCACUGGGCGUAAAGCGUCUGUAGGUGGCUUAACAAGUCAACUGUUAAAUCUUGAAGCUCAACUUCUAAAUCGCAUUCAAAACUGUUAUGCUAUAGUAUAGUAGGGGUAAAGGGAAUUUCCAGUGGAGCGGUGAAAUGCGUAUAGAUUGGAAAGAACACCGAUGGCGAAGGCACUUUACUGGGCUAUUACUGACACUCACAGACUAAAGCUAGGGUAGCAAAUGGGAUUAGAUACCCCAGUAGUCCUAGCCGUAAACAAUGGAUACUAGAUGUUGGGCAGAUCGACCUGUUCAGUAUUAAAGCUAACGCGUUAAGUAUCCCGCCUGGGAAGUAUGCGCGCAAGCGUGAAACUCAAAGGAAUUGACGGA
rnacentral:rRNA from 1 species